UGGACGAAAGUCUGACGGAGCAACGCCGCGUGAGUGAAGAAGGCCUUCGGGUCGUAAAGCUCUGUCGUUUGGGACGAACGUGGAGUGUGUGAAUAAUGCAUUUCAAUGACGGUACCAAAGGAGGAAGCCACGGCUAACUACGUGCCAGCAGCCGCGGUAAUACGUAGGUGGCAAGCGUUGUCCGGAAUUAUUGGGCGUAAAGGGCGUGUAGGUGGACUCAUAAGUCGUGUGUCUAAGUGCGAAGCUCAACUUCGUAUAGGCGCAGGAAACUGUGAGCCUUGAGUGCAGGAGAGGAAAGUGGAAUUCCCAGUGUAGCGGUGAAAUGCGUAGAUAUUGGGAGGAACACCAGUGGCGAAGGCGACUUUCUGGACUGUGUCUGACACUGAGGCGCGAAAGCUAGGGGAGCGAACGGGAUUAGAUACCCCGGUAGUCCUAGCCGUAAACGAUGGGUACUAGGUGUAGAGGGUAUCGACCCCUUCUGUGCCGGAGUUAACGCAAUAAGUACCCCGCCUGGGGAGUAC
rnacentral:rRNA from 1 species